rnacentral:rRNA from 2 species
AGCCNCAUGGUUUCAAUCAUAAAAGGUGGCUUUNAGCUACCACUUACAGAUGGACCCGCGGCGCAUUAGCUAGUUGGUGAGGUAACGGCUCACCAAGGCGACGAUGCGUAGCCGACCUGAGAGGGUGAUCGGCCACACUGGGACUGAGACACGGCCCAGACUCCUACGGGAGGCAGCAGUAGGGAAUCUUCCGCAAUGGACGAAAGUCUGACGGAGCAACGCCGCGUGAGUGAUGAAGGUUUUCGGAUCGUAAAACUCUGUUGUUAGGGAAGAACAAGUACCGUUCGAAUAGGGCGGNACCUUGACGGUACCUAACCAGAAAGCCACGGCUAACUACGUGCCAGCAGCCGCGGUAAUACGUAGGUGGCAAGCGUUGUCCGGAAUUAUUGGGCGUAAAGCGCGCGCAGGCGGUUUCUUAAGUCUGAUGUGAAAGCCCCCGGCUCAACCGGGGAGGGUCAUUGGAAACUGGGGAACUUGAGUGCAGAAGAGGAGAGUGGAAUUCCACGUGUAGCGGUGAAAUGCGUAGAGAUGUGGAGGAACACCAGUGGCGAAGGCGACUCUCUGGUCUGUAACUGACGCUGAGGCGCGAAAGCGUGGGGAGCGAACAGGAUUAGAUACC